GCAUCGGUGGGGUAUCGGAAACCCACAUCCUAUUGUUGCAUGGCUGCCGACAAUGCGAGGCUGCGCUCGGGGUUCGAUUCCCCGCUGAUGCA